rnacentral:rRNA from 1 species
AGAACGUCGUGAGACAGUUCGGUCCCUAUCUGCCGUGGGCGCUGGAGAAUUGAGGGGGGCUGCUCCUAGUACGAGAGGACCGGAGUGGACGCAUCACUGGUGUUCGGGUUGUCAUGCCAAUGGCACUGCCCGGUAGCUAAAUGCGGAAGAGAUAAGUGCUGAAAGCAUCUAAGCACGAAACUUGCCCCGAGAUGAGUUCUCCCUGAGACUUUAAGUCUCCUGAAGGAACGUUGAAGACGACGACGUUGAUAGGCCGGGUGUGUAAGCGCAGCGAUGCGUUGAGCUAACCGGUACUAAUGAACCGUGAGGCUUAACCUU